GUUGUCGACUAGCCGCUCCGUUCCGUUUUAUAUCGUCCGAGAUUUUGAAUUCAAGUUACAAGCUCGGGGAUUGUCAGCAAAGUCUAUCACACUAUCUACAGCUUGGGUAUUAAAAUAAUCAAACUUGAAUUAUGGAAUGUAUAGGCUGGAAUUUGUUUUGAAACGAUAAACUUUGGUUUUGUAUAAAGGCCAUGCGAAAAUGGCUUAUUUCUAUGCUAAAUUCGGUUAUGCUUGAUUGUGUUUGAAUUCAUUUUGGUUAUAGUGUUAAGUGCUAUGAUGAAA